UUAGCCCCUCCCCAUCAUCUUG
rnacentral:miRNA from 1 species